rnacentral:rRNA from 1 species
CAGAGGGUGCGAGCGUUGUCCGGAAUCACUGGGCGUAAAGGGCGCGUAGGUGGCGCUCCAAGUCUGUGGUGAAAGCCCGACGCUCAACGUCGAGUCGGCCAUAGAGACUGGAGGGCUCGAGCACUGUAGGGGCAGAUGGAAUUCCGGGUGUAGCGGUGGAAUGCGUAGAGAUCCGGAAGAACACCGGUGGCGAAGGCGGUCUGCUGGGCAGUUGCUGACACUGAGGCGCGACAGCGUGGGGAGCAAACAGGAUUAGAUACCCUGGUAGUCCACGCCGUAAACGAUGGGCACUAGAUGCUUGGGGGAGCGACCCCCUGAGUGUCGUCGCUAACGCAGUAAGUGCCCCGCCUGGGGAGUACGGCCGCAAGGCUG